GUGCUUUGGAGGACAUCGUUGCGCUGCUGACUUCUAACACUGAGGAAAUACUGCUACACAACCUUGAACUACUUCACACAUCGAAAAAGAACACGUACUCUUUCUCUACCAAAAGUGAAUUUAUCAGUUACACAUACAAGGUGAUCCUGCCUUAUCCUGGAGAAAGAAAUGUUAUGCAAGAGGCCAAGAAGAAGCUAAACAAACAAGCCAUGAUGGAUUCCCAUCUCAGCUUAUUACCAUUGGGACAUGUCCUUUUUGUCCAAUCACAUUUCUACAUGGCAGUACAGUCUUCAUCAAACCUAAGCAUUAAAAAAAAAGUUUUCUCUGGGUCUUUGGGUCUUUUGUUUCGGAAGGCUCCUGUAUUACAUAAAACUUUGUUAAAUAAAUUUGUUAUACUUUUUU
rnacentral:lncRNA from 1 species